rnacentral:rRNA from 1 species
AUUGAACGCUGGCGGCAGGCUUAACACAUGCAAGUCGAACGAGUGGCGGACGGGUGAGUAAUGUAUGGGAAACUGCCCGAUGGAGGGGGAUAACUACGGGAAACUGUAGCUAAUACCGCAUACCAUCGGAUGUGCCCAGAUGGGAUUAGCUAGUGGGUGGGGUAAAGGCUCACCAAGGCGACGAUCCCUAGCUGGUCUGCGAGGAUGACCAGCCACACUGGAACGGAGACACGGCCCAGACUCCUACGGGAGGCAGCAGUGGGGAAUAUUGCACAAUGGGCGCAAGCCUGAUACAGCCAUGCCGCGUGUAUGAAGAAGGCCUUCGGGUUGUAAAGUACUUUCAGUGGGGAGGCGUUACCCGCAGAAGAAGCACCGGCUAACUCCGUGCCAGCAGCCGCGGUAAUUC